rnacentral:misc_RNA from 1 species
ACUGAGCGAGUAUAUUUGGAAGAUGUCAGAAAGGAAUGGGAAUGGAGCCAUUGGCAACAACACUGAAGCAAGCUUCUAUGAUGGAGCUAGCUUCAUACCUCUUUCCCUUGCAAUAUCACGCAAUUUCACCCUUUUGCUAUUCCUAUUCCAGAGACCUGUUCACAAGAAGUAAUCAAUUUCGAUUUCAAGCCAAGAUCAGUAAUAGUACAAGGGAUAAGAACCUUAUUUUCUCCAUGUCAAAGAAGCAGCAGCAGCAGCAG